rnacentral:rRNA from 1 species
AGAGUUUGAUCCUGGCUCAGAACAAACGCUGGCGGCGUGCCUAAUACAUGCAAGUCGAACGAAUGUAGCAAUACAUGAGUGGCGUACGGGUGAGGAACACGUGGAUAAUCUUCCUUAAAGUGGGGAAUAACCAAUCGAAAGAUUGGCUAAUACCGCAUAAGACCACAACAUCUUUGGAUGAAGGGGUUAAAGGCUUCGGCCGCUUUAAGAUGAGUCUGCGUCCGAUUAGCUAGUUGGUAGGGUAACGGCCUACCAAGGCGACGAUCGGUAACUGGUCUGAGAGGAUGACCAGUCACACUGGGACUGAGACACGGCCCAGACUCCUACGGGAGGCAGCAGUAGGGAAUAUUGCACAAUGGAGGAAACUCUGAUGCAGCGACGCCGCGUGAGUGAUGAAGGCCUUCGGGUUGUAAAGCUCUGUUCUCAGGGAAUAAUAAGUUGAAUGUACCUGAGGAGAAAGGACCGGCUAACUUCGUGCCAGCAGCCGCGGUAAGACGGGGGGUCCAAGCGUUGUUCGGAAUUAUUGGGCGUAAAGCGGGUGUAGGUGGCUUUGUAAGUCAGAAGUGAAAGCCCUGGGCUCAACCCAGGAAGUGCUUUUGAUACUGCGAAGCUUGAGUGUGGGAGAGGAUAGUAGAAUUCCUAGUGUAGUGGUGAAAUACGUAGAUAUUAGGAGGAAUACCGGUGGCGAAGGCGGCUAUCUGGCCCAACACUGACACUCAGACCCGAAAGCGUGGGGAUCAAACAGGAUUAGAUACCCUGGUAGUCCACGCCUUAAACGAUGGAUACUUGGUGUUGGAGGUAUUGACCCCUUCAGUGCCGAAGCUAACGCGUUAAGUAUCCCGCCUGGGGAGUACGGUCGCAAGAUUAAAACUCAAAGAAAUUGACGGGGGCCCGCACAAGCGGUGGAGCAUGUGGUUCAAUUCGAUGCAACGCGAAGAACCUUACCUAGGUUUGUAUGGACUGGAAGGAUCUCAGAAAUGAGUCCGCCUUCGGGCCGGUUCACAGGUGCUGCAUGGCUGUCGUCAGCUCGUGUCGUGAGAUGUUGGGUUAAGUCCCGCAACGAGCGCAACCCCUAUGUUUAGUUGCCAGCAUUUAGUUGGGCACUCUAAACAGACUGCCGACGUUAAGUCGGAGGAAGGUGGGGAUGACGUCAAGUCCUCAUGGCCUUUAUAUCUAGGGCUACACACGUGCUACAAUGGUGAGUACAAAGGGAAGCAAGACUGCAAAGUGGAGCAAAUCCCAUAAAACUUAUCUCAGUUCGGAUAGAAGUCUGAAACUCGACUUCUUGAAGCUGGAAUCGCUAGUAAUCGCGGAUCAGAAUGCCGCGGUGGAUACGUUCCCGGGCCUUGUACACACCGCCCGUCACACCAUGAAAGUUGGGCCUACCAGAAGUCGUUGCGCUAACCGCAAGGAGGCAGACGCCCAAGGUAGGACCGAUGAUUGGGGUGAAGUCGUAACAAGGUA